rnacentral:misc_RNA from 1 species
GGAAGCCUGAGGCCUCUAUCAUCAGUAUGUAAUUACCUAAGCCUCAAUCAUUGACCUUGAGUGUGGAUUUUUGGACCAUGUGAUGUUCAUACAUGGUAUAAUCCUCUAAUACAUGGCCAUACUAAUAAUUAACAAGAACAUGCUUUUCUUAGUUACAGAAUAGGAAAUUGAGCAAGAAUACUGCAUCUAUGGGAAAGCAUUCCAUUAAAUGAACAGAAUCCAACCAAAUUUUG